UGGGGAAUAUUGCACAAUGGGCGCAAGCCUGAUGCAGCCAUGCCGCGUGUGUGAAGAAGGCCUCGGGUUGUAAAGCACUUUCAGCGAGGAGGAAGGUGGUGAACUUAAUACGUUCAUCAAUUGACGUUACUCGCAGAAGAAGCACCGGCUAACUCCGUGCCAGCAGCCGCGGUAAUACGGAGGGUGCAAGCGUUAAUCGGAAUUACUGGGCGUAAAGCGCACGCAGGCGGUUUGUUAAGUCAGAUGUGAAAUCCCCGGGCUCAACCUGGGAACUGCAUUUGAAACUGGCAAGCUAGAGUCUCGUAGAGGGGGGUAGAAUUCCAGGUGUAGCGGUGAAAUGCGUAGAGAUCUGGAGGAAUACCGGUGGCGAAGGCGGCCCCCUGGACGAAGACUGACGCUCAGGUGCGAAAGGCGUGGGGAGCAAAACAGGAUUAGAUACCCUGGUAGUCCACGCUGUAAACGAUGUCGAUUUUGGGA
rnacentral:rRNA from 1 species